rnacentral:rRNA from 1 species
AGGGUUUGAUCCUGGCUCAGAUUGAACGCUGGCGGCAUGCCUUACACAUGCAAGUCGAACGGCAGCACGGGAGCAAUCCUGGUGGCGAGUGGCGAACGGGUGAGUAAUACAUCGGAACGUGCCCAGUUGUGGGGGAUAGCCCGGCGAAAGCCGGAUUAAUACCGCAUACGACCUACGGGUGAAAGCGGGGGAUCGCAAGACCUCGCGCAAUUGGAGCGGCCGAUGGCAGAUUAGCUUGUUGGUGGGGUAAAAGCCUACCAAGGCGACGAUCUGUAGCUGGUCUGAGAGGACGACCAGCCACACUGGGACUGAGACACGGUCCAGACUCCUACGGGAGGCAGCAGUGGGGAAUUUUGGACAAUGGGCGCAAGCCUGAUCCAGCCAUGCCGCGUGUGGGAAGAAGGCCUUCGGGUUGUAAACCACUUUUGUCAGGGAAGAAACGGUCUGAUCUAAUAAAUCGGACUAAUGACGGUACCUGAAGAAUAAGCACCGGCUAACUACGUGCCAGCAGCCGCGGUAAUACGUAGGGUGCAAGCGUUAAUCGGAAUUACUGGGCGUAAAGCGUGCGCAGGCGGCUAUGCAAGACAGAUGUGAAAUCCCCGGGCUCAACCUGGGAACUGCAUUUGUGACUGCAUGGCUAGAGUACGGCAGAGGGGGAUGGAUGUCCGCGUGUAGCAGUGAAAUGCGUAGAUAUGCAACGGAACACCGAUGGCGAAGGCAAUCCCCUGGGCCUGUACUGACGCUCAUGCACGAAAGCGUGGGGAGCAAACAGGAUUAGAUACCCUGGUAGUCCACGCCCUAAACGAUGUCAACUGGUUGUUGGACGGCUUGCUGUUCAGUAACGAAGCUAACGCGUGAAGUUG